rnacentral:rRNA from 1 species
GACGAACGCUGGCGGCGUGCUUAACACAUGCAAGUCGAACGGAAAGGCCCUUCGGGGUACUCGAGUGGCGAACGGGUGAGUAACACGUGGGUGAUCUGCCCUGCACUUUGGGAUAAGCCUGGGAAACUGGGUCUAAUACCGAAUAUGAUCAUCGGCUUCAUGGUCGGUGGUGGAAAGCUUUUGCGGUGUGGGAUGGGCCCGCGGCCUAUCAGCUUGUUGGUGGGGUAAUGGCCUACCAAGGCGACGACGGGUAGCCGGCCUGAGAGGGUGACCGGCCACACUGGGACUGAGAUACGGCCCAGACUCCUACGGGAGGCAGCAGUGGAGAAUAUUGCACAAUGGGCGCAAGCCUGAUGCAGCGACGCCGCGUGAGGGAUGACGGCCUUCGGGUUGUAAACCUCUUUCAGCACAGACGAAGCGCAAGUGACGGUAUGUGCAGAAGAAGGACCGGCCAACUACGUG